rnacentral:rRNA from 1 species
AAUCAACGCUGGCGGCGUGCCUAACACAUGCAAGUCGAACGCGAAAGCCCCUUCGGGGGUAAGUAGAGUGGCGUCCGGGUGAGUAACACGUGGGUAAUCUGCCUUCGGGUGGGGAAUAACCCAGGGAAACUUGGGCUAAUACCGCAUAAUGCAGCGGCACCUAAUGGUGAUUAGUUGUUAAAGCGGGGGAUCGCAAGACCUCGCGCCUGAAGAGGAGCCUGCGGCAGAUUAGCUAGNGGUGAGGUAAUGGCUCACCAAGGCUUCGAUCUGUAGCUGGUCUGAGAGGACGGCCAGCCACACUGGCACUGACACACGGGCCAGACUCCUACGGGAGGCAGCAGUGGGGAAUUUUGGGCAAUGGGCGAAAGCCUGACCCAGCAACGCCGCGUGAGGGAGGAAAUCCUUCGGGAUGUAAACCUCACAAGCAAGGGAAGAGAGCUACGGGCCGAAUAAUCCCGUAGUGCGACGGUACCUUGCGUAAGCCACGGCUAACUACGUGCCAGCCGCC